AUUUAAACCUUGGAUAUAUGGAAUUGUGAAAGUUACAAGCCAAUGGGGCAUGGUGCCUGAAAGGACUGUGGCCCCUUUAUUUUCAGAUUAGGUAGAUACCUCAAUGACAUAUCUGUGAAAAAGUGCACAAAUCCUAUAAUCUCCCCAAAGUAACAUGAGAAGGUGUCUGGCACCCCUGGAUUCUGUUUAGAGUUUCUGAAAGCAAACUCCAUAUUUAUUAUCCAUGUUACAGAACGAUUUAGCCAGAGUUUUGUCGGCACCAAGAUUUUAUCCCUCCAACUGGGGGUAAAAAACAAAACAAAAAACAUCUUCUAUCCUGUAAUCUGAGCUAUUCACAUUGCUGCUAUCGACUACCUACUGUGGAUGACCAGCCUUCUCCCACUCAUCCAACAGGAACUCCCAGCACAAUAUCAGUCAAGCAGCUGAAUUCCAUCCAAUAUGCAGCUUACAUAGCAAUUGCCCCUUCAGACAGCGUUCGGGUGUCCGCCUGGC